GACGAACGCUGGCGGCGUGCCUAAUACAUGCAAGUAGAACGCUGAAGGAGGAGCUUGCUUCUCUGGAUGAGUUGCGAACGGGUGAGUAACGCGUAGGUAACCUGCCUGGUAGCGGGGGAUAACUAUUGGAAACGAUAGCUAAUACCGCAUAAGAGCAGAUGUUGCAUGAUAAUUACUUAAAAGGUGCAAUUGCUUCACUACCAGAUGGACCUGCGUUGUAUUAGCUAGUUGGUGAGGUAACGGCUCACCAAGGCAACGAUACAUAGCCGACCUGAGAGGGUGAUCGGCCACACUGGGACUGAGACACGGCCCAGACUCCUACGGGAGGCAGCAGUAGGGAAUCUUCGGCAAUGGACGGAAGUCUGACCGAGCAACGCCGCGUGAGUGAAGAAGGUUUUCGGAUCGUAAAGCUCUGUUGUAAGAGAAGAACGAGUGUGAGAGUGGAAAGUUCACACUGUGACGGUAUCUUACCAGAAAGGGACGGCUAACUACGUG
rnacentral:rRNA from 1 species